rnacentral:misc_RNA from 1 species
ACCAGAUUCACAAUUUUAUUGACCAACACGAGCAUCUCAAUUGCCACAUAAGUGCAACAUUUAACUGCCUAAAAUAAUUAUACUCUCAACAAGAGGUGCAUAGAUUUAGCUGAAGUACUAAACAGCAACAUAGAUGAAAUGCAAGCAUGUGAUUGUCUUUCUUGAGGGAAAAAACAAAAUCCCUACAAUCCUGCAAAUAACUGAAAAAGAAAUGAAACACAAAUUCAGAUAGAAGAUCACCACUGCUACAUUAGAGCCUUCAAACCUGCUUUCUUCAUAAAUAAGAUGAACUUGAUUACACUUUAAAACCUCUGCUCUUCCUCCUCCCUCUGGCCUUCUCAAACUUUCUUCCCUUGGCCCGGACAUAAGGCUUGGUGUGACUAUGUGGCACACCAGGUGCUGGACCAAAGUGCUUCACAGCUUCCCUAGCAUUCUUUGGGCCCCUGAGGAGAACCGUGUUCUGUCCCAGAGGUGCACGAAGAGCAAGCUGAUCAAAAGUAAGGCACUCGCCGCCAGCCUUAACAAUCCUCGCCCGCGCCGUCUCAGUAAACCUAAGAGCCGUCACCUUCAUCGCCGGAACCUCGUACACCCGCUUGUCGUCCGUCACAGUCCCCACUAUCACCGCAAUCUUCUCAUCCUUUCCACCCAUGAAAUUGAUGACGCGCUUGAGAGAGAUCGGCGGCUUGUUUGCCUUGCUCAUGAAAAGCCGCUUCAGGAUCACCGCAUUGAACUUGCUCCCCGUCCUCCGCACCAGAAACUUGUACAGCUUGACGAGGAGCUUGAGGUACACAUCGUCGGAUCUCGGAGCGGUACGCUUCGCUUUCUUGCUCCGGCCGCCGGCGACGAGGUCGAUGCCCAUGGCGACUGGUCG